CUCUCCCUUUCUUCGCAACUCACUUGGAUAUUUGAUCUUGUAUUUUGUUUGUGUAAGAUUUUAUGAGAUAUAUUACCUUCCUAUCACAAUGACAGGACCUGAAAUGUUAAGAUUUCUGAACCUCAGACUUGGAAGGGUGCCUGCCUCACCAGAUCUGAUCAGAUCUCCUGAAAUUCCCAAAGGAGGAAACUGGGGGCCACUGCAGGGCAAACAGGUAGCAACAGAAUUAAGACUCAGACUUAAUUGGCCUUUCCUUAGUCUCUCCCACAUCUUACUUUCAAAAAAUAGACUUUUGAACAUAGUCACUCAUACUAACGUUCUUCCUGCAGACGGCCUUGAAUAAAGCAGUACUUUGGCAUUAAUUUAUCGAGCUUACAUGCAAACCUAAUAAACAUUAUUAAAUAUCAGGAAAGCUAACAUUUCACACGAGAUCGCUUCAGACCAAAUUCAAUUUGAAUUUGAAUAAAUUAGAAGUACUGUGCAUACAUAACCUUCUUGUGCACCUUGAGUAUUGGAAAGUUAAUCCUUGGUUUUUUGUUUUGUUUUGUUUUGUUUUUUUGUCCUGUCUGAAAGGCAAAGCAAAACAGCAGCACGGUGCUCUGGGAAAUGCUGUUCCCCUUCUGUCCUCACACCCACAGACUGAAGGGAAAAGACUGUCUGAGCAUCUAUCUGCUGGUUUGAAGAAUGAUGAGGCUGUUUUAGUUAAGGGCCAGACACUAGUGCUGAAAGGAAAGACUACAGCCAGUGUCCUUCUGUCUUCCAUAGUUAUCACAACUAUGAGAGCCUCUUAGGUCACAAUUUUUAAAUGUUGACACCCAAGUGUACACGGAGUAGACCGGCACACUAGCUCUGCAGAGGACAAGCAUUAAAGCAGGUGAUUCCUCCCCCUGAAGGGAGGGCUCUUUCAGUGUGAACCUGUCCUCAGUGGGGGUGGGCGGGAAACAGGAAUCCACUUGCUGUUCUUGGAGAGUGCCUUGCUUUUGUUUCAAAUGGCCAAGUCUCCCAAGUCCUUCUCCUCUAACGGCAUUGCUUUUAGUAAGUGUGUGUUAACCUGUGGUUUGAAAGAAAUGCUCUUGUACAUUAACAAUGUAAAUUUAAAUGAUUAAAUUAAAUUACAUUUUACCAAUGGC
rnacentral:lncRNA from 1 species